GCGACGGGUGAGUACACGUGGGCAACCUGCCCCUUGGACUGGGAUAACCAACCGAAAGGCUGGCUAAUACCGGAUAAAGACACGCUUCGCACGCGGAGUGUGGUAAAAGGUGGCCUCUUCUUGAAAGCUAUCACUAAGGGAUGGGCCCGCGGCCUAUUAGCUUGUUGGUGAGGUAACGGCUCACCAAGGCAACAAUGGGUAGCCGGCCUGAGAGGGUGAACGGUCACACUGGCACUGAGACACGGGCCAGACUCCUACGGGAGGCAGCAGUGGGGAAUUUUGCGCAAUGGGGGAAACCCUGACGCAGCAACGCCGCGUGAGUGAUGAAGGCCCUCGGGUCGUAAAGCUCUUUUAGUGGGGAAGAAACACCCUGAGACUAAUAUUCUCAGGACUUGACGGUACCCACAGAAAAAGUUCCGGCUAACUACGUGCCAGCAGCCGCGGUAAUACGUAGGGAGCAAGCGUUGUUCGGAAUUAUUGGGCGUAAAGAGCGCGUAGGCGGCAUGGCAAGUCCGAUGUGAAAUCCCAGAGCUUAACUUUGGAACUGCGUCGGAAACUGCCAAGCUAGAGUGUGGGAGAGGAGAGUGGAAUUCCCAGUGUAGAGGUGAAAUUCGUAGAUAUUGGGAGGAACACCGGUGGCGAAGGCGGCUCUCUGGACCACAACUGACGCUGAGGCGCGAAAGCUAGGGGAGCAAACGGGAUUAGAUACCCCGGUAGUCCUAGCCGUAAACGAUG
rnacentral:rRNA from 1 species